rnacentral:rRNA from 1 species
GAGUUUGAUCAUGGCUCAGAUUGAACGCUGGCGGCAUGCCUUACACAUGCAAGUCGAACGGCAGCACGGGAGCUUGUUCCUGGUGGCGAGUGGCGAAUGGGUGAGUAAUGCAUCGGAACGUAUCCUGGAGUGGGGGAUAACGUAGCGAAAGUUACGCUAAUACCGCAUAUUCUGUGAGUAGGAAAGCGGGGGACCUUCGGGCCUCGCGCUCUUGGAGCGGCCGAUGUCGGAUUAGCUAGUUGGUGAGGUAAAGGCUCACCAAGGCGACGAUCCGUAGCAGGUCUGAGAGGAUGAUCUGCCACACUGGAACUGAGACACGGUCCAGACUCCUACGGGAGGCAGCAGCGGGGAAUUUUGGACAAUGGGGGCAACCCUGAUCCAGCCAUGCCGCGUGAGUGAAGAAGGCCUCGG